rnacentral:sRNA from 1 species
UAUGAAAAGAUUAAAACAGCGUGCUGCGAUCUCACCACCCAAAGGUUAGGCAAUUCAAAAGCCAAGAGCAGACGUGCGCUUAUUGAAAGGCCUUGGGGGAAACCAUCAAUAGUUCUGGAAAGUUUGGCUGCCCGUUCAAAGGCCUGUUUUAUGCUCUGCGUCAGCCCCACCUGGAUCAAUAUGUCCCGUACGCCAGCCAGCACAUUCGCCUCUUGUUUAAUUUGCCAUUUAUAAGUUCGGUGGGUCCGGUGCAUCUAAGCAAUUAUAAUGCAGGGAAUAAAUAAGCACGGCGGCCAAUCAAACUGGAUUUGCGGCACAAUUAGACAUCAAGUACCCACAGAGCCGGGCAUUGCAUUCCACUCACAGAUGAGAAUACAAAUGUUUGCUGGUACAUCAAAUGCGGUCUCUUCUCACUCCUGAAUAUAAAUGGCUCCUGGAUCGAUCUUUGAGGCAGGCUCCUAGGAGAGGGAAAGAGCAAGGCUCCGCUUUGUAAGCCUGAAGUCCUGAAGAGAGAGGGUGUAAGGCAGAUGUCCCUAAUUUUAUAAAGCACCCUGACCGAAAGCAAUUUACCGGAGGAGAAGGUUUAUUUGGAUUCCACGUCAUGGUCUAUCAUGAAGAGGAGGUCAAGUCAGGAACUCAAAGCGACUAUAAUAUCCACAGUCAAGAGCAGAGAAAAGCGGAUGAACCCGUGUUGUAUGUCUCCCAGAGUGUCACCCAGCCAGCUUUCUCCAGAGUCCAGUCUUGAGAACGGGUUCCACAGUGAGCCUGGUUGAUGAACGGUCAAGACAAUCCCUAACAGACAUGUCUACAGACCAAUCUGACUACAUAGUUCCUCAACUGAGACUCUUCUCAGGUGACCCUUGGUUGUGACAAAUUGACAGUUGAAACUGUCACAACAGCCUUGCAGAGUACCAAAUACAACUGUCUCUCCCAAGUCAUUUGUAGGUUAUGGGAAGUGACUGCACCUCGCUUGUUGUCUGUAAAUCUGGAGCAAAGCAGAUGUUUUCACAAGGAGUCCGAGAAACAAAUAGUUUAAAGGGAUAAUGGUGCCAACCGUACAAACUCAGUAUAUCAGCUAUUUCCAAACCUGUAGUUUUAGAGUGCUGGAAUUCCAGGUCAAGAAGGAAAUGACCAGGACUGGGGCCAAGCUUAGUGGGAGAACUGGGCUGUAUGUGAUCUCCAUCAAGACAAAACAAAGUGGACAUGUGCACCAAUGGCCUUUAGCCUCCAAGCUUCUUCCUCUGACUUCCGUUGAGCAUUCUUCAUGAGUACAUGGGCCCGGAGCAGGCAGUAGAAGCUCUACCAACCCAAGGAGAGCAGCUUUCCCUGGUCUAAAGAUUGGCUGCUCACAGACCACAGGUCAACCCUCCUAUGACAAAGCCUGACUGAUGAAGGAGUUCAUCGCUGAAGAAGAGACUCAGAAAGGAAAUCGAGCCAGGGAGAAGAUGAUCUUUCUGUGCCCUCUGGACUCCGUCAUCCUGGAUAUGGUACUUGUCUUGCAACCAGGACGAAGAUGAAACCGACUUUGAGGAUGAAGGAAGGAGCAGGGUGGCUGGUCUCUACUUCCAUAGACUGUAGGGGAAAACUCCUGCAGGUGGACAAAGGUCCCCAAAACUUCUCUCCAGGACCCUCGUGUUUCCUGUCAACAUGCUCAUUCAAUCAUCACUGAACGCCCAAGAGUUAUUCCACAAGAAUUGUCACUGGGCGUCGACUCUGCAAUACAAAUGACUGGUGGGUGACCUUGAAUCUAGACUGCAGCCUCUCAGCAGACAUGCGCCCUUAGAGAAAUUACCUACAUUCUUUGUGACUCAGGUUUCUCACUUUAAAAAUGAGGGCUACGGCAUGAGGACCUGUGAGAGAUCGGUAUUGGCUCAGUACCCUAAGACCAAGUUCUCUCCACAAAGGAGAUUUCUUUGCCCCAGGGGGACAGAGGACAGGUGAUACGAGGCAAAGAAAUAUGGAGGACAAGGGCGAGGGACCAAGGGUGGGAUGAAGGACUGUCUCUCGCUAGGGAGGAUACAGAUGUGCCCUAUAGGCUAAUGGUAGUUUAUAAAGGUAAAGGGGGAACCCUGUGUUAAGAUGAGGUGUUUAAUUUUAAUUGGACAUGUUAACUUGUUAGAGGAAUUGCUGAAGGAAGAGCCCAGACUCAACUAAUACGCAAAGGUAAGGACGGUUCAUUCUGUAAAAAUUACCAGCACUCAGGGGUCAACCAUUCAUCUAAAUGGUGACAACUUGAGGGUCUUGUAGGCCUGCUUUUAUGCAGGACUAGGGGAGUUUUCCAGGACUAGGUAACCUCUAAUAUGAUUGGUAGGAGCAAAGCAGUAACAUUAGUACACUUUCUUUUGAUUGGCUAUUUGGUGAGACCAUGAAGAGUUUUAGUGACCAGCUCUGUUCUGGCCUUGUUAUCUUCUCUAGUCGUGUACCCAGAAGACUGUCUCAGCUCUGGAACUAUCCUCCCAUGUUCAGGUUGACUGAAGGCUCAUUGUGAGCCAAAGGGGGCUUUUGAUAGUUGAAUUUCAGUACCUUGAUAGCUAGACCUUGGUAGCCAGCCUCAGGAAGAGGAAGUAACCAAAUAAAGGAAUAAACCUUCAUGACUAGAAAUGUAAUCUAAUAGGUUUUUUUUUUUUCAAGGCAGAGGGAAUUGGGGAGAAGGUCAAGGCCCUCCGUGUUCACCAAGUCCCUUCAGAACCUGAGUCUGAGUCCCAGAACCCACAUAAAAAGAUAGGUACAGUAGUGGAAUAUUGUAAUCCCAGAGCUAGGAAAACGGGCAAGGGGAUCUCUGAGGCUGACUGGCCCAGUGAGUUGUCAGUCCCAGAGUUUAGUGAGUAGACAUGCCUCAACAAAUAAAAAGCAACAACAACAACAAAACAAAACAAAACAAAACUGAGGACGAAUGGCCCCUGCAGAAUGAGACCCAAGGUUGAGUUCUGGCAUCGGCAUGUGUGUACAUGUAUGUACAGACACACACACACACAAGCAUGCAUGCACAAUGUGAAAAAUAAAAUUAAAGCUAUCCUAUAAUCCCCUGGUUUUCCUAAUAUACUAUUCUCUCACUUUGGUGACAGGUGCAAUAAAUAAUGUAUUCAGGUAGUUUUAGAGAAUCAAUUUAUUUCCAGGCACUUGUAUAGAAUCUAAUCAAUAUUUAUACUUAUUCAAACGGCUUUCUUCUUCUUUUUUCAUUAAGGAAGGUUUUGCUUUCUUCUUACGCCUGUUUGACCUUGUAGAAAAUAACAAAUUCUUUUCUAGUAGCACCAAAGGGAACAAAACCAAGCCAAGGAGAUUGUUGACCCUAACCCUCUCACUAAUUAGGGAGUGUAUGGGGAAAUAAGUCCUCAUUACACCUCCCGUUUCAACUAGUUCUUUACAGUUGACUAUAGCUCAGAAAAUUGGAUUAUGAGCUACGCUUGGCAUCUUUAGCCAGAAGGCCUGCCAUUCUGUCAGCAAUAUUUAUCAGACUAGAGCUGGUGACUGUAAAUUCCCAAGGUAAUUAGAAACAAGCAAACAGAAAACAAAAAUACAAAACCAAACCACUGGUUUUAGAGACAUUGUUUCUCAUUGGAAUGAAUAUUACCCAUGAUUAUCUCCUUAGCUGUACGCUUCAUCUAGGAGAGAGAAAUCACCCAAAUUUCACUUGAAGAGUUUUGUCAGGUGUUGUACGACACGAUUUCUGGGGAGACCAGAACACACCUCUUCUUAAGCUCAGACAGGCGACAGUGACAGACCGAAGCGAGGAUAUUGCCAAAGUGUAACUUGGCGAGGGGGUUCUUAUAGGAAUAUCGGUGAGGGCUACAGGAACAGAAACAAUUCAAGGACUGUUACAUCACUAAAAUCUGGAAUGGGUGACAGACCACUCAUGAAAACAGGAAGCCUGGAUCUCACUGCAUGGUUGGGAGGCAGCUAGACAGAGUGGAGUCUCUUCCAGACCCCUCAGCUGGUCUGAGUGUCUCCUAGAAAGGCAGCUCUCCUUGUCUGAGGGUCUCUCAGCCAUUCCUACAGUUUAUAUAAAUGUGGGGAUGAAGGAGCCUGAUGCUUCUGGUCAGGUUCAAGGACCCCUGGAUCCUUUGAGUUGUUUACUGUCCCGGUUUUAAAGACCAUCCUUCAGGAGACAGUGCUUCACUUUCCUUUAGCAGAUCCUAGGUCCUAAGGACCUUCACUUUAAGGUGGAAACUCUUAUCUCAGAGGAGAUUGCUAUGCAACACUAGAAAUGACCUUUGAGGGUCGAAGCCCAGGGGACUAAGGGACUAGAUUAGCCAUGUGAUGUGGGGGAGGAGAACCCAUGAACUUUCUGGACUUUUAUUUACCCAGAUCGCUGAUGGAUGACUCUGGUGAGCAUGGAGUUGGUACCCGAUAUGAAGAGAUGCUGUCCUCCUAUCUUGUGCUCACAGUGUGCUAGGUCCCAGGGAAGCUGUGACGAAGGAGUCUUGCCGGUCAAAGGCCAGCACAGGCCAGUGUGCUCAGCUCAUGCUCAGCUCUGAAGCACAAGCUAGUCCUGGAGUUCAUGUUCUUUAUCUCCAGUGUGGAAUCCUGCUCAUUACUUCAACUCCACCAAUAGCGACUUUCCCUUUGUCUGAGCUCUAAUUCCUCUAGAGGGCUCCUAAACACAGCACGUGAGAGGUCUUGUAAAUGCACGGACUCUGGGGCUGGGGACAAGCAUGAGGACCUGAAUUCAGUCCACAGAACUCAUGUAAAGAGACUGCUUGGGUGGCAUGUUCUGUAAUCCCAAUGGUGGGGAGGUGGCAAUGGAUCCUUGGGGAUCACUGGCUAGUCAAUGUAGCUUACUCUAAAACCCACAGACCAAUGAGAAUAAAACCACCUUAAACAUAAAGAACCAGCCAUCUUAAGAAGAAAACAAAAAACCAAACAAGGUGGGGAGCACUCGAGGUGAGAAACCAAGGUUGUCUUCUGACCUCCAUGCACAUGAACAGAUGUUCCCAUGCACUGCUGUGCACACAUGUGCAUCGACACA